AGUGAACGCUGGCGGUAGGCCUAACACAUGCAAGUCGAACGGCAGCACAGUAAGAGCUUGCUCUUACGGGUGGCGAGUGGCGGACGGGUGAGGAAUACAUCGGAAUCUACUUUUUCGUGGGGGAUAACGUAGGGAAACUUACGCUAAUACCGCAUACGACCUACGGGUGAAAGCAGGGGAUCUUCGGACCUUGCGCGAUUGAAUGAGCCGAUGUCGGAUUAGCUAGUUGGCGGGGUAAAGGCCCACCAAGGCGACGUUCCGUAGCUGGUCUGAGAGGAUGAUCAGCCACACUGAAACUGAGACACGGUCCAGACUCCUACGGGAGGCAGCAGUGGGGAAUAUUGGACAAUGGGCGCAAGCCUGAUCCAGCCAUACCGCGUGGGUGAAGAAGGCCUUCGGGUUGUAAAGCCCUUUUGUUGGGAAAGAAAAGCAGCAGGUUAAUACCCCGCUGUUCUGACGGUACCCAAAGAAUAAACACCGGCUAACUUCGU
rnacentral:rRNA from 1 species